AGAUCAGCAAGGUCAGCGAAAUACCAACAUGCGGUUCUUCUCCGUAGCCUUCCUUCUUGGACUCCUGGUCGCUUUUCUGGCCUUCUGCUCCACAGCAGCGGAGGAAACACAGCUGCCGCAUCUCCGAGUUCGUCGAGGUGGCGGCUGCCCAAUUUCCAGCAGCUGCGUCAAGAUCUGCCAGGACAACGGCCGCAAAUCAGGGAUCUGCGCCGGACCGCGUCAUUUAUCCUGCGUAUGCAGUUAGAGAGCGCCAUUCGCCAAAAAACUCCA